UACGAAGGGGGCGAGCGUUGUUCGGAUUUACUGGGCGUAAAGGGCGCGCAGGCGGCUAUCCAAGUCAGGCGUGAAAGCCCCGGGCUUAACCUGGGAGGUGCGUCUGGGACUGGGUGGCUAGAGUUCGGGAGAGGAGAGUGGAAUUCCCAGUGUAGAGGUGAAAUGCGUAGAUAUCGGGAGGAACACCUGUGGCGAAAGCGGCUCUCUGGACCACAACUGACGCUGAGGCGCGAAAGCUAGGGGAGCAAACAGG
rnacentral:rRNA from 1 species